rnacentral:rRNA from 1 species
UACGUAGGGGGCUAGCGUUGUCCGGAAUCAUUGGGCGUAAAGCGCGUGUAGGCGGCCCGGUAAGUCCGCUGUGAAAGUCGGGGGCUCAACCCUCGAAUGCCGGUGGAUACUGUCGGGCUAGAGUGCGGGAGAGGCGAGUGGAAUUCCUGGUGUAGCGGUGAAAUGCGCAGAUAUCGGGAGGAACACCAAUUGCGAAGGCAGCUUGCUGGGACGGUACUGACGCUGAGGCGCGAAAGCGUGGGGAGCAACAGG